GAGUGCUUCAUGCUCCCCAGCACCUUCGGUAGCCGACCCACCAGCCACCCUUCUGCAGCCCUACCUCCUUCCCUAGUUCCUGCCACCUGAGGCCCAGCAGCCCCUUGGACAUCCCAGCAGCACUUUGCCUCUUUCUCAGAUCCACUUUGCUCUGAAACUGACACGCCCUCCACUCAGUGCUGCCACGGGUGACGGAGCCCUGGCCAUGACCUGACGCAGACUGUUGGACAGGGCAGGCAGCCCCCACCUUCCAGAGCUCAGGGCCAAGAUUGGUCAAGGAAAAGAUGCCCAUCUUGGCCCAGGCCACUGGUCCCGAAGGCCCCAUCCGGGCUCCCUGCAUGGAUUGUGAUUGACUGGGCUGUGUCUUAAGGCCCCGAAUGUCCUGGGCUUCCCUGCUGGCGCACCUGCAUGGUACAGCGGUGACUGUGGCUCUCCUUCGGCAUAUUGGCUCCGUACACGUCCUCUGUGCGUGGCUCCUGCUCCUGCCUGGCCCCUGCGUCUGCUCCCCCAGCAUCAAGUGGCUGCCAUCCCUGUUCUGCUCAGAGCCCUUCACAUGGCUCCCAUCUUGGACAGCAGGAGCCGAAGUCUUUGCUGCUGACCUCCUUCCUGACCCGGUGGCUCAGCCCUCGUGGUCCACACACCACCUCCUGGGACCUCCUCCCACCCGCACGAGUCACCCUGUGGACUUCACUCCUCUGCCGCCUCAGGGUGAGCACUGCCUCUGCUGUGUCCCUAAAGUACCAUAGGAACAAGAAGGACGGAAGGAGAGGAGAGGAGGGAGGGUUAAGUGAGUCAAGAAGGAGCAGCAGGAAUUGACCAGGCGGAGGUAGCAAGGUGAAGGGGUCGUGGGAGAGACCCCCGGUGGUCUUGCAGGGACUGAGCGUGUGGAUGUGGCAACAGGUGAUGGGAGAGGAGACAGGGAGCAGGGGCUCCACAGGACCACUACCCCAGCCACCCCCGCUUGAUGGCUCCUUUGCCAUCAGCCUCCUAGCGCAGUGACCUGUGUGUACCCUGUCCUCCCCAGGUGACUGUAAACAUCCUCCAGGCAACACAGUCUUUCUCAGUCUCCUCUGAACCUUAGUGAUAUCUGAAGGGUGAGAGAUAAACAGUAGUGGGAAUGAACCUGCCAGUCUCACAGGGAGGGAGAACCUGGGCUUCCAUGAAGUGGAAGGACCUUCACCCCUGCUUUAACCCUGAACUCCAAGGGGUUGGGUGGGGGUCCUGUAGGCCAGGCUUCAGGAGGCAAAGGGUGUAUUUAAAGGAGCCAGGCAGCAGGGAGAAAGAGAACACAAGUCUCCGUGGCAUUCCGGGGAGGUGAAACCCUGGAAAGCUGGGGGCCUCUGGAAAGGCGGAGGGGCAAACUGGCUUGUCCUACCUUUCUGGGAGUGCUGACCCCCCCCCACUUCUGGAACCCAUAGACCCAGCCCUGGUCCUGCAGGUCCUGACUUCUGGACCCUAUGUCCUCUCUACCAGGGGCUCCUCUUCCCAGUUUCCAGGCUAGAGGAGGCCACAGGAAGUGGCCAGGCAGCCACCCACACAAGGCCAUGGUGAAUUCAUCAGGCAUUGCUUUUCCUCUAUCCCUGCACCACUGUGCUGAAUAUUUAGUCUGCUCCCUGACUUAGUCUCUGCCUGUGUCUAAGUGGCUCUAUUUUUAAAUCCCUGAGGAUGAUUGACGAAAAUGUUGAAAAAGAGACCAAAAUUUCAAAAUGUAAAAAGCCCAGUGAGGGCUAUUUUGUUUGAAGAACAGAAUGACCUUUGUGUUCUGUCCCCACAGGGUAGUGCAUAUUUCAGGAGAGCCAGGGGCUUGGGAACUUGGCUUAGACCCAGGCUUUUCUACCUACCAAGCCCCUCUCCUCCCACACCUGUUUCCAUUGUGCAAAAAGAAAAGUUUUGUCAUUGAUUUCCUCUUCUUUAUCUCUGGUGAUUCAAAACAGUGUUUCCUGCUGGAGGAGUCGUGGGGCCUGGAGCCUGCAGCCUAACAGCUAGUCUUACAUCUGCAGCUCAAACACAGUGGGACCUGGAUGGGAAUCCAGUGUCAUAAAACACAUGUGGUUGACGACGCUUGGAGUCUGGCCAGUGCCUUUCAAUGCCACUGACUUUUGUGAUCUCCAGUCCAGAUACCAAACACGUACAACUACCAGAAAACAUAGUGUUACAUGUGGGGUGGGACCAGUGACCUGGGCAAGGUGACUUCUGAGCUAACAGAGAGCAGCAGCCUGCUUGUGCUGGUCCUGGUGCCUCUUCGCCCAUCAUCUGGCAAAGUGGGCUCUCCACCACAUGGCAGAGGGGGCACCCGUGACUGCCUUCUUUGCAGAGGGUGGCAGCACUGUGAUAGCUCUGUCCCUCACUUUCUCUGCACAAGGCCUUACGUCCCCUCUCAGACCUGGGUGGCCUGUAACUCAUCUGGGAGCAAUUGAAAUGCACAGCAGUUUCUAGAGCUAGCAUGGAAGCCUCUGAGCAGUUCCACUUUGCCUGCUCAAUGCCAUGUGAGCAGUGCAGCUCUCAGGGAUCACUGUGGUAUGAUGGAGCCUCACUGGUCCACAUGGAUGAUCACUAAGAGAGAGGGAUGCCAGGCCUGCUCCAGGGACUGCUCUCCUGGGCACUCCAGAGAUUUUCCACCCACAGGAUCUGUAAGACAAAAUAAAAUGCUGCGGUUUCCAAUGCUGCAUUUGGAGGGGCUUUGUCCCAGCUACAGCUGACUGAGAUGAUCGAUAUGGGGCAGAGAGCAGUGUCUCCUGCAGGAGUCCUGGGGGUGGUCCAAGGCCAGAGCGGGGACUUUGGAGUGGAGGGGCUUGGCCAACGAAAUGAGUGCAGAAGAGACAGCUGCUGUUCCCCAGUGGGAAAGCUUACCUGUGAUUCUCUUCCCUGCCUUGGCAGGCCCCAAAGCCUCCUUCUGGAUUGGGACGAGGUGACAUAAGGCAGUGGAACACAUCUGUUAGUUUGAGCCAGUCCCUGAAGAUGUGCAAAGGGAGAGACACGUCUCAUCAAGCCAAACCUCUGUGAUCUUACGCCGCUGAGAUAUGGGGGUUCCUUGUUACCAUAGCAUAAAAAUAACCUCACCGGACUGAUGUGUAAUAAAAACAAG
ensembl:lincRNA